CUACAAACCUACAGAGUCACAUUGUUCUCCUACCUGGGAGCGGAUAGGAAGGAUUUGGGUGCCGGCAACGUGGGGCUGAGAAGAAAGGAGGAUGUGUGAGGACAACUAGUGGGCGUACUACAACCGCAGCUGAUUCGUGUGUGUUGUUUGUUCGAUCCAACCCUUCCGUCUGCAGGGCCUGGCGAAGGGAAUGAAGAUGCACACCCUCGGCCACGACUUUGUCCUCUAGGAAGAUUUUACAUGGUUCAAAUGUCCUGUCUCCUAGCUAUGACAAGGAUUAUACAUGCCUCCUGUAUGGCAGCUACACUCUUAUAAAUGUCACGGAUGGGAGGGAAGACAAGGAGGGCACAGGAAACAGUCGACGAAACAUGGUUGAAGUUGUUGUUGUUCUGCACCUCAUCCAAACCAUCUUUAGAUGUUGGAAAAGUACAGGCAAAGCGCUCAGCAUCGGUGUGGUCUCUUCGUAUAGUCUCAAGUUGAUGCUAUUAAAGAUAGACUUGAUAAAAAAUACAACACAUAUGAUGGCUUUCAUGUGCGCGUCAAGUCUAUUGAUGGUUUUCAAAGAGAAGAGGAUGAUAUAUUAAUACUAUGAACGGUAAUAUCCAAUUGGAAUGGAGUUGUUGGGUUUCUUGCUGAUAACCAAAGAACAAACAUUACA